rnacentral:rRNA from 1 species
UACGUAGGGGGCAAGCGUUGUCCGGAAUCAUUGGGCGUAAAGAGCGCGUAGGCGGUCCGGUAAGUCCGCUGUGAAAGUCAAGGGCUCAACCCUUGAAUGCCGGUGGAUACUGUCGGGCUAGAGUCCGGAAGAGGCGAGUGGAAUUCCUGGUGUAGCGGUGAAAUGCGCAGAUAUCAGGAGGAACACCGAUGGCGAAGGCAGCUCGCUGGGACGGUACUGACGCUGAGACGCGAAAGCGUGGGGAGCGAACAGG